rnacentral:sRNA from 13 species
CUAGUCCAAACCUCCCGACAACGGGUGGAUGGCAGCGAGAAGGAUAUGAACCCGGGACCGAGAUUAUCAGUCCAGAGCGCUAACCGUUCAAGAACGGAAGGAAUGAUGGUUAGUAAAUUGGUCCAUCUUUAAAGUGGUAUGGGUCUACAUGGAACACUCCUGCUCAUCAUAGCGACCUCUAUUGUUGCAGCGCAGCAGGGCGACUUAAUAGUAACAAGUCAAGUACGCCUAUUUCAAUUUUCAUACACCGGAAUUACGACAUCAGCUGAGUUUAUUUGCGGUGUGAGAAGCAAAGCCCGUAGGAACCUAUCAUCAAUUGUUUUCACGUCUUUAAUCAUGAAAAGGACAGCGAACGUGGCCGUGUCGUUAUCUGGAGAUGAUGUGGUCUCAAAAAAAGAGUCAUCAACACUUGUAGUAUUGGAAAGAUCAAAGUCUAACGGUAAACUCAAGCUGCU